rnacentral:rRNA from 1 species
GACGAACGCUGGCGGCGUGCUUAACACAUGCAAGUCGAACGGAAAGGCCCUGCUUUUGUGGGGUGCUCGAGUGGCGAACGGGUGAGUAACACGUGAGUAACCUGCCCUUGACUUUGGGAUAACUUCAGGAAACUGGGGCUAAUACCGGAUAGGAGCUCCUGCUGCAUGGUGGGGGUUGGAAAGUUUCGGCGGUUGGGGAUGGACUCGCGGCUUAUCAGCUUGUUGGUGGGGUAGUUGCUUACCAAGGCUUUGACGGGUAGCCGGCCUGAGAGGGUGACCGGCCACAUUGGGACUGCGAUACGGCGCAGAAUCCUACGGGAGGCAGCAGUGGGGAGUCUUGCACAGUGGGCGGAAGCCUGAUGCAGCAACGCCGCGUGCGGGAUGACGGCCUUCGGGUUGUAAACCGCUUUCGCCUGUGACGAAGCGUGAGUGACGGUAAUGGGUAAAGAAGCACCGGCUAACUACGUG